AAGUUCUCAUUGGGGUGCGUGAUAUAUCACGCUGAGAAAUACCCAUAGAACCUGAUCUGACUAAUAUCAGCGUAGGGAUUUGAGACAGACAAUUUC
rnacentral:ncRNA from 2 species